rnacentral:misc_RNA from 1 species
AUUUUCUUUUAUGUCACUUCCCAUUCUACCCCAAGUUGAAGUUGAAAUUCCGAAAAAAAAGUGAAGUCUCCUAUUAAUAGAACAUGUAGCGUAAACCCUAAACCCAAGCCUCCUCUUCUCCUUAAACCCUAAAUUCUCUACCUCUGCGAAAAUGGCUGUCACUAACAUCAUCAGAAGGACUGCUUCUCAAGUUGUACCCUUGGCUGCUCGGGUGAUCUUUAGAACACAGAGUUACCAUCAUCGAUCCUCUGCUCUCUUAUCCACCAUAGUUAACCGUAGUGCUGCUUCUAGAAACUUCUUUCGGAGCUCAGCACCGUCCACCCUUCAUUUCUAUUCUACCAAGAGGCCCAGUUCUGAUGAAUCACUCCUCAAAGUCAUUCAGUCCGAAAUCCAAUGUGCCGAGGAAUCCGACGAACAAGACGAGGUUGAGGAGGCUCCUGAGGGUUUCCCCUUCAAGAUUGAAGAUCAUCCUGGACAACAAACUAUUACAUUGACAAGAGAAUAUCAAGGUGAAUCUAUAAAUGUGGAAGUUCACAUGC